ensembl:lncRNA
AAAAAAAAAAAAGAAAAGAAACAAAAAGAAAGAAAGGAAAAAAGGGGGUGAGGGGCUGCAGGGCAGAUAGAUUUCCUGCAGACAAAUUCUAAUAGGCCUUCCAGAUAUAUAGCAUCUUGUUAAAAAUUCAUGCAGGCCAGAAUACUAGAAGGUCAGAAAAUGUCUUUGAAAUUCUGCCAGAGAUCUUUUUGAUAAUUCAUUCAGGUUUUAAAAGGGAAAAUUCCUCAUUAAAGAGAACCUAAUGCUUAUUAAUUUAUACUCCUAAGGCAGAGGCUGAAUAUUAAGCGGUGGACUCUGUUAAUCCAUUUAUUAAAUAUCAAAGACCAUAUGUUUUCACCCUGUGUCCUUGCUUAUUGAUUAAUUUCCUCAGACCUAUAUGGGUAAAAGCAGAAUAAAGUCUCUAGACACUUUCCUAAACUGGUGGAGACUGUAGCACUCUUUUGUGUAGUCUGUACCUUACAGAACUCAAUCUCCUCUGCCUUCAGGUACACGUCUGUAAUCUCCUGGAUCUGGCUGAAUAAAAUUCCCCUUUGCUGAAAGUUAUCAUUUUGUGCCAAAGGGUAUUUUGUUGGUGACUUUUAUUGGCCUGCCAUAAAGAAGGUUCUGCUUUUUACCUGUCAGCCAGGUCUGAUUUUGUAUUACUUCUGGCAGCAAUAACUAAGCAUGUGACACAACUCUGACUCUUUGGGAGACUGAUGGAUGUCGUGUGACACAGCUACGAGGCAGAAGUGAAAGGGGAAGGAAACAGAGAGAAAUAUUGGUCCUCUCUGUUUAAUACCUACACAUAACAGAGUCCUAGAAUGUAGCAGAAAGAGUGGACCCCUGCACCUAUCCACCAUUAUCUCUGGCAGAAGCUUAAGUACAGAUCUGCCAUUCAUUUACCCCACUCCCUCUCCUGUUUAAUUGCAAUCUUGGAUUAUGUGCAGCACACUUGCCUGAAUAAUGUGUGGAGAACAAAAGCUAAUGAAAGCUAGAUGAGAAGAAAACAGUGGUGGGAAAAAAAUUGCAUGGUGGGAAUAAAACCAUCUGUUUAGGAAAAUGAAAAGAAAUAAAUGCCAAAAUGGCUCAGUUCCAUAGUCAAAUGGAUAUAUGUUAACUAGACUUCAGCACUUGUUCAUAGUUCUCAUUGCAACAAAUGCUAACAUAAUGUAGUCUUUGUUUUCUGACAUUGACCUCUGGGGCAGUUAAAUGGCACAAUACUUUCUGCAGGCUAAGAAUACCUCUUCUGGACAGUCACUGUGGCUAAAGUGGUGCAGAGUAGCUUCUGCAAUGAUAGCAAUCUUAUUUUGAAUCUGACCUGUUAAACUUAUUCAACACAAAAUGUUAAAACCACAUUUUGUGCAGAAAAAAAAAAAAUCCAUUGCUAGGUGGUGAAAGGAAAGAGGUCUAAAAGCUCUUCUGACAGGUCAGCAGAUGGAGUGAGGACACUGAGCCAGGGCUGCAUUCUCACACAGUAACUGAGAGGGACAGCUAAAUGAGAGAUGCCUUGGCUGAGCAUCAAGUUGAGCUGCUGUUCUCUCAGAAGAUCAACAAAAGACCAUCAUGAAUUCUCUGACAGUGGAAGCUGCAUGAUCAAAAUGCAGUUUAAGAUGUUAAUCGGAAACUGGAACAAUAAACCAAAGGGAAGCAGCUCCUUUCACUCUUGCUGCCUCUGCAGCCUACAAGAGUUUUGCCACUGAUUUCAAAGAGAGCAAAGCCAGGUAAUUAUAAUGCUUGUGGCUUACAAAGCCCUCUCUACCUUGAUGAACAAAGCUCCUCAAAGUGAAGCACUUCAGAGACUUUUCUAUAGUCUCCUUCUACAAAAGAAUUUAUUUUAUAGCGCUGGAACAUUUUCUAUUAAAAAAAAAAAAAGAACCCCUCCCUCCUCCAAAAAAAAAAAAACCCAAAACCACCAAAGAAGCCAACAACAACAAAAUACCCACCAAAAACAUGAAAAAUGAAAGAGUUAAAUCCAAAUAUUUUAAGGACCUGAAAUAAUUUCAUACUACUCUGUAAAGCUUCUUCACAGCAAUAGCAGGGAAACUACCUCUUUUAAAUGAUAGCAUGAUCUUAUAAAUAGCCCUGCAGUAAAAAAGUGAGUCAAAGAUGAAAAAAGUCUUCUUAAAAAUUUAUGUUUUAAUUAUUAUUCUACAAAGGACCUUACUCAGAGAAGCCUUUAAGUAGAAAAGAUAUUUCAGGUUAAGAAUGAACCUCACUUUUGACUUGGACAAAAACUCAAGAGAUUCGUAAAGUUAACUGUGAUCUUAAGCACUGCCUCCAAUUAGUGGCUAAUGAAGCACUGUCUCUGUUUAGUGAAUUUUUUCUGGUUUUGCUCGAAAUCUACCAGGAUGUAUACAGGCAUUUAUGUUUCAGCAUUAGGCAUAACAGACUUGGGACAUUCUAAAAGGUCACAAAAAUCUUGGGGCAACUUGAUAACACAGGUAAACCAGCAACAUCGGUAAACCUGGCUUACUAAUGUGAGGACAUUUAAGAAAAAAUUACUGAAAAUGGGGCCAAAACAGUGCUGUUGGAAGCACAGUGAAAUCCUGUGCUUGCAUUUUGCCAAUCUCAGACAAAGGAAAAAAACAGUUUUGAAGUCCAAGAAAAUCAGCAAGUAUUUUCAUUUAAAUUCUACGUCUACUUAGUCAAUUUGAACAUGUUCUCUCCCCAGGGACUACACAGGCUAUAGCAAUAAGAUAUUCCCUGAAUUUUCCUCUUCUGCCAAGUAAGAAGAGAUGAGAGAGCAAAGACUGAAUGGAGCUACAGUAAAAGUUAGAAUAGAUGACCUAGAGACCCCUCUUUGGGUGGAUUCCCCACAUGAGAAUGCCAACACAGGGGUUUUUAUGAUGUGGCAAUUUUCAGCAUAGGCACAAUUUCCAGAAGGGGGAUGUGCUACCCCAAGCAGGAAACAAAACCCUGCAAAAAUCUAGUAUUUUUGUGAUGUACUUCUCAUAUUUUCUACUCCUUUCUGUCCAAUAUCAAAUAACUUUGAAUAUCCAGGUCUUUGAAAAAAAGAAAUUAAAUCUCUGAGAACCUGUCUGGAUUACACAUACACUUAGAACUGAAAAAAACUGCCAGCCAGAGGGACCUCACUGGAAGGCUGAAUUUAGGACUGAAUUUAUAAAGGGACUCAAGUGAAGACAGCAGAGCAAUUUCCAGGUUCAAUGCCAUAUUGUUAGUGGAUACAUCCGAAAUCCUUCAUUAGCUAUAAAAUACAUGUCAGAAUAAUCUGUGCAAAAUUACUGCCCUAGUAGAAAGGGAUGAAGUGUGGGUAAGUGUUCGUAAAUCAAAUCUAGAGAUGAAAAUUAAAAUUGUAAAUUUUGACCUGGCACAUCCUGGAUUUACAAAAGCUAUCAAAAUACAGCCAUCUUUUUUCAUAGGACUGGUUUAACUGUGUACCUUUAAAGGCAGGAAGAAAUGCUGCAAGUACAUUUCUCUUUAGGAUUUACUUAAAUUAAUAUAGCAACCUCUAUAUCUACAUACUUAUAUUUGUAAUUUACUACAAAAUUCCUUAAUUUCUCAUUACUACAAGCAUGAAUAUUAAAAUAAAUAUGAAUAUCCCAAAAAGGGUUUCAGACCGGAUGUAAUGAUUCCUGUGGAGCCAUUAAGUUUCAUCAUUUCCAUAAAUUCAGUCUCCAUGCAAUGAGCACUUUAUGAAAGGGCAUUUAAUUGCCUGAUAAGAUAUAGUGGCUCCUCUGCAUCAAUAAUAAAGUCAAUAAUCUGCAUUUUUAAAUCUCUCUAAAUAUCCACUGACGCAAUAGGUUGUUGCCGUACUAGAGUCCUCCAGGCCCACUGGAUCACUAAUAUAAAAUGUUUAAGGCCAUUAAAUAUACAUUUAACAUGAUAGAAUUUUAUGAGUCUAUUGGAGGUCAAUGCUGUAAAAUUAUACCUCUAAAAAUCCUCCUCAGAAAGUAAUUUAUGGUAUAAAAUAUGUUUAUUAAAAGUCCCUGACUACAGAUUUAUGUGAUUUUAUGUGAAGACUGCAAUUGAAUAUGCUUGGGGACCAGUCCUGAGAACACUUUCCAUGAAGUUCAGAGCUUAUUACCCUACACAAUCCCUCCUCAAGUUAAUUGAAAUACUCCCAAGAGUAAAGUUACUCAUAGUCAAGAGUAUUUGUAGUUUCAUGCCCUUAAACUUGUUUCCACAGUUUUCCCUCUGAUUCACUGUGUGAUCUAGCAAGUCAUUAGAUUAGCAGGGCUUAUCUGAGAGAGGAACCAUUUAAUGGGUAAAAAGCAAGAUAAAAUGUAUGUUUGCCAUUUACUGAGGUGCAUAACACUUAAUCGUUACUAUUUUUGCAUCUCCAAUUUUAUUAAUCAACUAUGACAGUGGUAGUGAACAAUUAAAAAGAAAGAAAAUUAUUCUCAGAUCAAAUAGGAUAGAGAAAUCUCUUUGGAUCACACCUCAAAAAAAAUUAAAAUUCUUCCCAUCCUAUGCUCUAAACAACUUCCUAAGCUGUUUAGAAAAAAAUUAUGCAAGGCUAUUUCUAGAAUAUUUUCAGUGUAAUAUUUAUGAAAAAGUAUUGCAUUUCUGCUGAAAAAAGUAACAAAAAUUCUCCACCCCGUAUAUAUCCCUGCAAAAAAUGUCCCAAAAGUCCCUCCUCCUGUGCCACCGGAGCAGUUGGUUAUCACAGCAUACAGCAAAGAGCAAAAGCCAUUAAUGAACUGCUUAAUACUGGUUUUGUGCUUGUCUAAAGGUGAGAAAGAAAUGGAUAAUUUUAAAGUUAAUUUAAGAUGAAGCUUGGAGCGUGUAUGAAGGAACUGAAACAUUCCCAGCAUGGGAGAAAGUUGAACUCCCAGUAAAUGAAUGAAGAGUUUCUCAUCAGCUCAUUUUGCCAGCUGGUUAAAGAGGUGCAGUCAGGCACCCAGGCGGGGAAUGGUUCCACUUGGCCAUGUGGGAACAUCACUGUAAAGAUUUUCAGAAGGACAACCAACACUCCUCAUGGAGAACUGCUGAUUUCCUCAUCUCCCUUCCACUCAAGAAAACUCCUUAAAGGUGAAGUUUUGGAAAAGAAAUAAAUCUGGCUAGAUCUUGCCACUCUAACAGCAAAGGUUUUACAUGUCUGUGUGGGCUUUUGCUCAUUCUAAAAAUCAAAUACUUCUGUGAUACAAAAAUUGAAGUACUGAGGCCCAUCUGCACGGCUUGCCAGCACAUUAGCAGGAUGAUAUAAGGGAUAUCAGGAUGAUAAAGAGAUUUUUGAGCUCAUUUAAAGUGUACCAACAUACACAUUUUUCUUGUAUUUCUCUAUAUCUGUCUUGAACCCCAUUACUAUGCUGUGAGUACUUAGGUGUUAACUAUUAAAGAACUACCAAAGAAAAACAAGACAAAAA